rnacentral:rRNA from 1 species
GAUGAACGCUGGCGGCGUGCCUAAUACAUGCAAGUCGAGCGAACAGACGAGGAGCUUGCUCCUCUGACGUUAGCGGCGGACGGGUGAGUAACACGUGGAUAACCUACCUAUAAGACUGGGAUAACUUCGGGAAACCGGAGCUAAUACCGGAUAAUAUAUUGAACCGCAUGGUUCAAUAGUGAAAGACGGUUUUGCUGUCACUUAUAGAUGGAUCCGCGCCGCAUUAGUUAGUUGGUAAGGUAACGGCUUACCAAGGCAACGAUGCGUAGCCGACCUGAGAGGGUGAUCGGCCACACGGGAACUGAGACACGGUCCAGACUCCUACGGGGGGCAGCAGUAGGGAAUCUUCCGCAAUGGGCGAAAGCUUGACGGAGCAACGCCGGGUGAGUGAUGAAGGUCUUCGGAUCGUAAAGCUCUGUUAUUAGGGAAGAACAAAUGUGUAAGUAACUAUGCACGUCUUGACGGUACCUAAUGAAAAAGCCACGGCUAACUACGUG